AAUGAGCCAGGAAAAGGAUUUGAUUCAUUUGAAGAAUGUCCCUCCAAUUAGGUAUGUAGAUGCUCACCUGAUUGCAAUAUCUGAGGCAAGGACAGAUACCAUUAAUGACCAGAGGUACUUUGAGGGAGUAGGGAGACUUGCUCCUGCUAAACCAAGCCGAGGACUUGUUCUUGAUGUAGAAGAUCUGGAUAUUCCCUGGAAUGAUCUGGUUCUGAAGGAAAG
rnacentral:misc_RNA from 1 species